AACGAACGCUGGCGGCAUGCCUAACACAUGCAAGUCGAACGAGACCUUCGGGUCUAGUGGCGCACGGGUGCGUAACGCGUGGGAACCUGCCCUUAGGUUCGGAAUAACUCCCCGAAAGGGGUGCUAAUACCGGAUAAUGUCUUCGGACCAAAGAUUUAUCGCCUUUGGAUGGGCCCGCGUUGGAUUAGCUAGUUGGUAGGGUAAAAGCCUACCAAGGCGACGAUCCAUAGCUGGUCUGAGAGGAUGAUCAGCCACACUGGGACUGCGACACGGCCCAGACUCCUACGGGAGGCAGCAGUGGGGAAUAUUGGACAAUGGGCGAAAGCCUGAUCCAGCAAUGCCGCGUGAGGGAUGAAGGCCUUAGGGUUGUAAAGCUCUUUUACCCGGGAUGAUAAUGACAGUACCGGGAGAAUAAGCUCCGGCUAACUCCGU
rnacentral:rRNA from 1 species